rnacentral:tRNA from 1 species
CCGCGCCUGGGCCGAGUUGCGGCCCGUGGCGGUACUGGUGCCCGGCUCCGGGUGCGGGCCGCGGGGCGUGGC